UUGAGACGCGGCAUACGGCUCAUUAACGCGUGGCUAACCUACCCUCAGGACGGAGACACCCCGGGAAACUGGGACUAAUAUCCGAUAGGCGAGGAGGCCUGGAAUGGUUUCUCACCUAAAAAACUUUGAGAACAUGCUUUCAUUGUUGCCUGAGGAUGGGGCCGCGCCCGAUCAGGUUGUUGGUGAGGUAAUGGCUCACCAAGCCUAUAACCGGUACGGGCCGUGAGAGCGGUAGCCCGGAGAUGGGUACUGAGACAAGGACCCAGGCCCUACGGGGCGCAGCAGUCGCGAAAACUCCGCAAUGCACGAAAGUGUGACGGGGCUACCCCGAGUGCUCUCCGCUGAGGAAAGCUUUUCCUUGGUAUAACUAGCCAGGGGAAUAAGGAGAGGGCAAGACUGGUGUCAGCCGCCGCGGUAAUACCAGCUCUCCGAGUGGUAGGGAUGAUUAUUGGGCUUAAAGCGUCCGUAGCCGGCUUAGCAAGUCUCCUGUUCAACUCAGCGACUUAAUCGUUGAAUCGCGGGAUAUACUACUAGGCUAGGAGGCGGGAGAGGUCGACGGUACUUCCGGGGUAGGGGUGAAAUCCUAUAAUCCC
rnacentral:rRNA from 1 species